ACGUCGUCGUUUAUAAUAAUAAGAGCCCCCGCAGAAUACAGACUUUUAGUCGGCCAAUAGUUUGUCCAAAUUGGGGGUUCAGUGCAUUAU